rnacentral:rRNA from 1 species
AACGAACGCUGGCAGCGUGGAUUAGGCAUGCAAGUCGAACGGGAUCCGGAGGGUAGCAAUAUUCUCUGGUGAGAGUGGCGGAUUGGCGAGGAACACGUGAGCAACCUGCCCUGGAGACGGGGAAAACCGUUGGAAACGGCGGCUAAUACCGGAUGUGGCGUCUGGAGACAUCUCUGGAACGCUAAAGGGGGCCAAAAGCUCCCGCUUUAGGAGGGGCUCGCGCAUCAUCAGCUUGUUGGCGGGGUAACGGCCCACCAAGGCUUACGAUUAGCUGGUCUGAGAGGAUGACCAGCCGCACUGGGACUGAGAUACUGCCCAGACUCCUACGGGAGGCUGCAGUCGAGGAUCAUUCGCAAUGGACGAAAGUCUGACGAUGCGACGCUGCGUGGAGGAUGAAGGCCUUCGGGUCGUAAACUCCUGUCAUGAGGGAAAAGGCGGGGGCGGCUAAUACCCGCUUUAGUUGAUUGUACUUCAAGAGGAAGGGACGGCUAACUCUGUGCCAGCAGCCGCGGUAAUACAGAGGUCCCUAGCGUUGUUCGGAUUUACUGGGCGUAAAGGGCGCGUAGGCGGCGUGCUAAGUCGGAUGUGAAAUCUCCGGGCUCAACCCGGAAAGUGCGUCCGAAACUGGCAUGCUGGAGUACGGGAGAGGGAAGGGAAUAUAGGGGGGGGAAGCGGGGAAAUGGCGUUGAUAUCCUAUAGAACACCGGAGGCGAAGGCGCCUUCCUGGAACGUUACUGACGCUAAGGCGCGAAAGUCGGGGGAGCAAACAGGAUUAGAUACCCUGGUAGUCCCGACCUUAAACGGUGCACACUAGGGGUGGGGCCCAUUCACCGGUCCCGUCCCUUAGCUAACGCGUUAAGUGUGCCGCCUGGGGAGUACGGCCGCAAGGCUAAAACUCAAAGAAAUUGACGGGGGCCCGCACAAGCAGAGGAGCAUGUGGCUUAAUUCGAUGCAACGCGAAGAACCUUACCUGGGUUUGACAUCGUCGGCAAUGCCUUUGGAAACAUAGGCGGAGGUUAUCCGAUAGACAGGUGCUGCAUGGCUGUCGUCAGUUCGUGCCGUGAGGUGUUUGGUUAAGUCCACCAACGAACGCAACCCCUUAUCCGUGUUGCCAGCGGUUCGGCCGGGAACUCGCGGAUGACUGCCUGUUUACGCAGGAGGAAGGUGGGGAUGACGUCAAGUCAGUAUGGCCCUUACACCCAGGGCUGCACACGUGCUACAAUGGCCGGUACAGAGGGAAGCGAAACCGCAAGGCGGAGCAAACCCCAUAGAGCCGGCCUCAGUUCAGAUCGGGGUCUGCAACCCGACCCCGUGAAGUCGGAUUUGCUAGUAACGGCGCAUCAGCAUUUGGUGCCGUGAAUGCGUUCCCGGGCCUUGUACACACCGCCCGUCACAUCAUGAAAGCCGUCUGCACCCGAAGUCUGGCGUUAGUCAGCCUAAGGUGUGGGUGGUGAUUGGGAUGA